UUUUCCCUCUUUUUUUUUUUGGAAUUAUCAGAUCACUUGUCUGUGUGUUUCAAUGGAAUCUGACUCUUCUUCUUAAUGUUGAUCGACCGUCAUGAUCUAUUUGCAUUUGUUUGUGUAUAGCAAGAAUGGGAUGACACGAAUCAAAUCUGUUUGUUUUCUAUAAUUUCUUUAACGAGCUGCAUAUUUGAUCUAGACUAUAGAAUCUGUUUUAAUAUUGUUCACUUUAUGAAGAUCAGUUGUUUGUUGAACCAAACUAUCUCAGUAACACUUUUGAUUGAUUCACUCACUAGUUUUGUGGUAUGGAAAUUUUGGAUCAAUUUUGUGUGGGAAAGGUUUGGAAUUCAAUGGAUUAUUGUAGUUGUUGAGUUAUUAUGUGUCUACCUACUUAUGACAAACGAAACAAUAUCAUAUGAUUAAUGCUGUGAUAAGAUUUGUUUAAUUUUUGAAUUUUGAUAAUUUCUUAGUACAUAUGGAAUGAAAUGUGAGUGACUAGAUUCCUUGUCAAAUUUCCCGACAUGAUUUAGAUAAUUUCUUAAUUGUGCAUGCGUGGGGGUUAUCAGCUGAUAAAUGGUUUUACCUGUUGCUGUCAUUAGUUUGGAAUUGUUGCUUUGGUUGGUUUUUGGAUUUUACCUGUGAGAUCUGAAUAUGCUGAAUCUUCGAGAGCUUGAUGGUUAUCUAAUUCCGAAUCUCUCUUAUGCAUCUAACAUAACAUCUUAUAAAAUUUCUCUCUCCUUGCAGAUGAGCUUAUUGCCAAUGCCGCCUAUAUUGGAACCCCUGGAAAGGGUAUCCUUGCUGCUGACGAGUCUACUGGCACUAUUGGCAAGCGUCUAGCCAGCAUCAACGUUGAGAAUGUUGAGGACAACAGA
rnacentral:misc_RNA from 1 species